GGAAGGGUACUCAAGUGGCUGAAGAGGCGGGUUUGCUAAACCUGUAGGGUGUCGUAAGAUGCCGCGGGGGUUCGAAUCCCCCUCCUUCCGCCA
rnacentral:tRNA from 1 species